CCUACGUGGGGCAGCAGUGAGGAAUAUUGGUCAAUGGUCGGGAGACUGAACCAGCCAAGCCGCGUGAGGGAUGAAGGUACAGAGUAUCGUAAACCUCUUUUGUCAGGGAACAAAGGCGGGGACGUGUCCCCGGAUGAGUGUACCUGAAGAAAAAGCAUCGGCUCACUCCGUGCCAGCAGCGGCGAUACGACGGAGGAGGCGAGCGUUCGCCGGUAUUGGUGGUUUUAGGGGCGCCGCAGGCGGGCUGUGACUGCGGUGGUCACAGCCCGGGUCUCAACCCCGGCCCGCCGUUGAAACUGGCAGUCUCGAGUUGGAGAGAAGUAUGCGGAAUGCGCGGUGUAGCGGUGAAAUGCAUAGAUAUCGCGCAGAACUCCGAUUGCGAAGGCAGCAUGCCGGCUCCACACUGACGCUGAGGCACGAAAGCGUGGGUAUCGAACAGGAUUAGAUACCCUGGUAGUC
rnacentral:rRNA from 1 species